rnacentral:lncRNA from 1 species
AUGAGGCAAAAAAUGUUCUCAGAAUGCAUAAGUUACAGCAGAAACAAUUUAGAGAGGCUAAGAAGGUUAGAGUUUCAAAUAUGAGUGAACAUAUUAGUGCUGUUAUUUACUAUGACGGUGAGGUUUGCCACAUCGAGAAUUAUGUUAUUUUUUUGUUGGAGAAUACAGUGCGACUGGUUUUUAACCAAAGCUUAGAUUUGACAGAACUUCGUAAAAGAAUAAGGCGUAAAAUUUUUGAAACGACGCCAAUGAAAGUUCUGUCUAUUACGUAUCGAUUUUGUUCUUUUGUUGAUCCAGUGACAUAUGACUUGUUCGACAUAAAAGGUGCUCGUAACUUGGAGGCAAUGGUGCAGACUCAUCUUCUUAGUGGAGCACCUUAUAUUGAGUUAUAUGUACAAUUUACAUCGCCAAAUGAUGUACUUGCGGCCGGUGUUCGAUAUGUACACACGACCCCUGGCCGACACUCGGUUAGCGGGUUACAAAACGUGGAACAACCCAUGUUUCGUAGCGGUGUGGAAUGCACAUCCCCUGUAAGACACUCUGUUAGUGGAUCCACAUCGGAGUCAUCUUCUAACCCACAAUCAUCGGUAACAUACGAGGUCCCCUCACCGAUGGUACAGAAGUUGGCUUAUUUUCUGAACCGGGGCCUAUUCCAAUAGAACCUGAAGAUGCUGAAAGGAGUUCAGAUGAAGAAUAAAAUCCACGAUUCAAAGCAUACUCACCUCCAACCCACAUGCAUAAUGUCGAUCUGUCUGCAGAUGAUGCGUUGGAGUUUUUAGAUCUACCACAUCGGUUGCGUGAUCAUACAAGUUCGGGGCUAGAUUCUGGUGAAUUUGAAGUUGGUAAUCAGUUUACCAACAAUGAUAGUUUUAUUGGUGCUUUAAAACAACAUAACAUCAAAAACGGCGUUAACUACCACGUCGUUAAAUCCAAAUCUAAUAAGUUUGAGGCGAAGUGUGCGGUGAAAGACGACACAUGUUCAUGGAAAAUCUAUGCCUCGUUAAGGAAAAGGACAGGGUUGUGGGAGAUUAAAAAGUACAAAGGUUCACAUACAUGUGCUGCAGGUACAGUAUUGACGGUUUCUGAAUAAUACUGUUAUUAUGUCAUGUUGCAUUAUUUAAUGUACUCCGUUUAUAGGUGUUUCACAAGAUCAUCCCAAGAUGGAUUCAAGUAUGUUAGCUAGCUUGAUACUACCCACGGUGAAGGCAGAUCCCAGGACUUCAGUGCUGGUCUUAAUUGCCAAUAUUCGUAGCCAAAUAGGGUACACGCCCUCUAUCAUUAAUUUUAUCUUCUAGGUUUUUUACUUGUUUUCUAUUUUCUUAUUGAAAAUCAUUUAUUAAUUUUAUGGUUUGCUUUUUACCACUUUUGGAAGUUCGUUAGUUCUUUUCUGUAACAACCCAAUUUUGAUCUUAAUCGGACAAAGUGGUUUUGGGACCAUAAAUCCGAGUCAAAAAAUAUUUUAAAAUUAUUUUUGAUAUUUUCAGUAUGUGAAUUAAUAUGUGUGAAAAUUUCAUAUAAAAAUUUGAUCGUUUGAGUGUUCAAUUUGAUAAAAAGGGCUUAAUCGCGUAAAAUAAAAACUCGGGGAUUUAAUUUAAAAGCAUCUAAUUGUUGUUUUCUUUUAAAUUAGGAGGUUUAAAGCUGCAAUUUGACCACUAUUUAGAUAAUGUGUGGCUAAGGUCAAAACUAACCUUAAUAUAUAUAUGUUAUAAUUAUUUUAAUAAGGUUAAAUUAAUAAAUUAUUAAUUAUGAUAAUACAUAAUAGUUAAAAACAUAAUUUUAUAGCAUAUAUCAUCUUCCUAGAAAAAACUUCGAUGAAAGAAAAGCCAUUAAAGCUUGAAGAAGGUUUCGCCAUGUCUUUCCAUAAUUAAAGGUUCGUUUUUGUUCAAUUUUUGAAAAUUUUUAUGUUUUUGAGAUCGUUGCUUUGUGUACUACAAGACCCAUACCUUAAUUUUAGAAUUUGGUGUUAAUUUUGUGAUAUGCCAUUGAUGAAUGCUUGAGAUUUUUGUUAGUUAAUGAUGAAAUAUGAAAUAUAUGUGAAAGAUUAACAUGUUUUGUAUUUGAAUUUUUGGUGAAAUUGAGUAAUUAGGGCUAAAUUGUGAAAUUAAAUUUUUGAGGGACUAAAAUGUGAAAUAAAUGAAAUAUGUGAACUUGUAUGAGCACUAGGGAUAUUCGGCCCUUUUAUAGUGUGGGCAAAUUUUGUGUAUUUUGUGUUUAUGCAAUAGGGACUAAAUUGCAAAAAGUGUAAAUGUUAAGGGUAAAAUGGUAAUUUGCCCAAUUAUGUGUUUUUGGACUAAAUUGAAUGAAAUAAUAUUUAAACUAGUUCAUUUUGAAUAUAUUUAUAUCAAGAACCAAAGAAAUCGGAGUUGGAUCGGGGAAAAGCUAAAGUCGUCGACUAAUCGUCCGGUUCCGAUUUUUCACUGUCCGAGAUUUAAAGAUCAAGCUUCAAGCUCGAGGAUUGUCAGCAAAGAUAAUCACUCUAUCUACUGUCUCGGUAUUAAAAUGUUUGAAUUUUAACUUAGGGCAUGUACAGGCUAGAUAAUGUUAUAAGAGCGUGCUUUAAUGUUUUGUAAAUGAGUUUCAUAGCCAGCGAAAAUGGCUUAUUUCCUUAUAGUCUAGUUGGAUUGUAAUGUUUUCAUUUUGUUUUAAAUGACUAAAAGAAAAGCUUAAAAUUUCGCAUGUUUGAUUUUAAACCUAGCUUAUCUAAUGUAACUUUUAUAAUUAUUGAACUUUAAUGAAUGUUUGUUUUAAGUUGUAUUUUGAUUAGUAAUACCUUUUAACCCUAAUUCGGCGACGGAUACGGGUUAGGGAUGUUACAUUUUAUGUCUUUCUUAGAUGGAAAUUUAUUAGCUUUGUUUAAAGUCUUUCCUGUCCUUUUAGUUAAAUAUUCUAAUUGUGCUUUUAUAAAUCCUUGAUUAUUUAUUAUUUUUUGUAAUAAAUUUAUUUUUAAUGAAUUAUUAGAAGAUAAUUUUUGUCGUGUUAUAUAUGUUUUAGAUCUUGAAUUAUUUUUUUAUCAAUGUUAUAUAAAUUUUCUAAAGAUUAAUUAUUAAGUCUACAAUGGUAUUUACUUGUUUAUUUUUUUGGGUUUCGUUAAUAUUAUGUCAAAUGUGAGUAUAGUGUCUAUUUCCUUUUCUUUUAAAAUUACAUUUUAUUUGAUUUUUAUUAUUAUAAACAAGUUCUUUAUGAAUGCUUGUUAUAUCAAGAUCUAAAUAAUAAAGGCGUCUAUCAGCUUCGUUAGGAUUUAUACCCCCUAUGGUUGCUAGUCAAAUUUUAACCCAACACUGAUAUUCUAGUGACCACAGAUAGGUUUUAUCUUAAUUAGGGUUACACACUGUGGUAGGAAUUGACUCCUCUUUAAGAAGAGUGUGUAACUUAAGUAUUCAAAGUUUCCAAUGACUAUCUCUCCUACAAGAAACUAAUCGUACGCUCUAAUACCAGAAAUAGCAGGGGUCUAAAGAAUAGUCGAUGUUUAGAAUACUUCGGAUUUUCCAAAUCAAAAUUUCUCUGCAAGAAAAGAGCAUACACACUGUAAAUCAUACCUCAAGACAGUUGGUUUUGCUUGAAAUAUUAGGGGUCCAAAGAAUGGUCGGUGUUUACAAUGCUAUUGAUUUUCCAGAUUGAAAUUUAUCCGCAAGAAAAGAGCAUACACACUAUAAAUCGUACCUCAAGAAAGUUGGUUCUGCAGAAAGAAAGUUAUACUUAAUAAGCUUAUGGCUAAAUUCUCCAAGUCGUUGUCCAGAUAUAAGAGCCACAAUCUCGUGAGAGCCUGCUCUUUCUACUUCACCGUCACGCCCUCUCUUGGCUAUGGUUACUAAAUUGAGACCUUACACUUCUCUCUCUAUAUCUCAAACCAAGAAAACAUUUGAAGAAAAAAAAGAUUAAAUUUUUAUAACUUCAAAAGAAAUUACAAACCUCGAGUAGUAAUAAAUAUGUUUUGCUCUCUC